AGCGCGGUGCCGGGGGUGAAGCUGAAGGCGCCGCUGCCGUCGGCCCUCACCGUGCCGAGCACGGUCUCGCCGUUCGAGAUCGUGACCGUGCUG
rnacentral:tRNA from 1 species